UACAGAGGGUGCGAGCGUUAAUCGGAAUCACUGGGCGUAAAGGGCGCGUAGGCGGCCUGAUAAGUAGGGGGUGAAAUCCUGCGGCUUAACCGCAGGGCUGCCUUCUAAACUGUCAGGCUCGAGCACAGUAGAGGCAGGUGGAAUUCCCGGUGUAGCGGUGGAAUGCGUAGAGAUCGGGAAGAACAUCAGUGGCGAAGGCGACUACCUGGCCUGUUCUUGACGCUGAGGCGCGAAAGCUAGGGGAGCAAACGGG
rnacentral:rRNA from 1 species